UUUUUUUCUAAUUGUGAGCCUGCGGACGGCGUUUUCGGAGAUGUGGCCGAGAGCGAGGCACCCGCCACGAAAAGGGACCGGCACCGCCAAGGUUGUUUCAGGCUGUUCCCGUUCUGCCUGCCUCGCCCAGCGCCUCGCCGAUCUGCCUCCGCUGCUGUUUCCAGUCAGCCUGCCUUCCAGCUGAUAUUCCAGCUCCCGAUGCCAGCCCUACUCCUCCCCAACGCUGGACCAGCUUCCCGAAACCUCACCUAACCAAUUCCUCAAUAAAACUGCCUUUGAACUGUUGAAAAUCUUCAAGCUAUGUGUUCGUGAGUUCCGUCUUGGUUGGCACCCAGGUCCCAGCUGUCGCAGAAGAGAGAAUUUGCGCCAAACCGGAUACCCACGGGGCACACUGGAGCCAGAGGCUGCCAGCUGGCCCAACAGUCUUUUCUCCCCACUCCUCGAUGAGACACACACUCACAGAGACACAAACACAAUCCCCCCUCUAUCUCACACCCAAAAACUCCUCCAUUGACCUCUCCAACUCGUCUACUCGCCCCCUCCUGAAUACACACAUUUAGACACACUCAGGGCUGGCACAUGCCCAAGUCUUGGCAUGUUGGUGCUGUAAAGGCGACAGGAGUGUCAACAACAUCACACCGCUGCUACAUAAUCCUCCUCAUCCCCCUGAGCAACCCAGCGCGCGCGCACACAGCCUCAAUCAAUAAAUCAGUCCCCUCGCUCAACACGUCUUAGGGAAAAAGAGGCAGGGUGGAGCGUUCAAGUAAUUGCUGCUAGGACAGAAAGUGAUGUCAUCUUUAAUUUUGGUGGACUAUUUAUUAUAGUAAUGCAAGAUCAUAAUGGCUGAGAUUAAGAAACCGAUGUGGAGAUGGUGAGUGUUAUGUUCCAGAGUGAAUGUAGGCCAACGA